CAUCCUCCGCGGGUCGGGAGGGAAUUGAGAGCCACACCCUUCACUCUGCCUGCAGAUCCUGGAAAUCAAACUGCGAAGUUAUUAAAAGAGAGAGUGCCGCCCAAACUUCCUGGAGGACCUUGUCCACGCCAUCUGGCUCCCUUCAGAGGGCGCCUGCAGGAUCCAGGAACACUACAUCAACACUCUUGGCGGGGAUCUGGACAUGGAAGACUCCUGUUUCAAGAAAAUAUAAUCAUCUUUCAAAGGCUGUAACUUAUAUGCAUUUCUAACUCACUAGGUAUUGAAAACCACCCAAGUGUCCCACCAUAGGGGAGUAAAAUAGAAUCAAUCACUCAGUGUAAUAUUAUACAUCUUUAAAAAUGUUAUUGGAAAAUGUUAUAUGAUCUGUAAGUCAAAAGAAUCCUCUCCCACCAUUUCUUCCUGCUGUUCCCCCAUACCCAUGCUUCUUUGUAAAGUUGGCAUGUAAAUUUGUUUUUCCCACCAAAUGAGUCAGUCACAAUGGGAAUGUCAAUUGAUUUGAACAGAUGUGUGUCAAUGUUACAUGGAAAAAUAGAUGCCAAUAACCAGGGCCACAGGAAAAUGCAGUGGUUCCAACUCUGUAACAAUUAUACCUACACACAAACAAGGACAAAUGUGGAACCCCAAAUAGGAAAACAGUUGCAUAUUCUCCAGUGUGGGGAGAUGGAAGGAUUGUAUACUGCUUUUGAUUUCAGUUAAUACAGGCAAUGUCCAAUUAAAAAAAACCCUAAUAAGGA